UACGUAGGGUGCGAGCGUUGCCCGGAUUUAUUGGGCGUAAAGAGCUCGUAGGCGGCUCGUUGCGUCGGCUGUGAAAACCCGCAGCUCAACUGUGGGCUUGCAGCCGAUACGGGCGGGCUGGAGUUCGGUAGGGGAGACUGGAAUUCCUGGUGUAGCGGUGAAAUGCGCAGAUAUCAGGAGGAACACCGGUGGCGAAGGCGGGUCUCUGGGCCGAUACUGACGCUGAGGAGCGAAAGCGUGGGGAGCGAACAGG
rnacentral:rRNA from 1 species